AGUUAUGUCAUGUUAUCGAUAUGUGAAUACAUAGCAUAUCAGAAGGCAUACCCGGAGAACUGAAACAUCUUAGUACCCGGAGGAAGAGAAAGAAAAUUCGAUUCCCUUAGUAGCGGCGAGCGAAACGGGAAGAGCCCAAACCAACAAGCUUGCUUGUUGGGGUUGUAGGACACUCUAUACGGAGUUACAAAGGACGACAUUAGACGAAUCAUCUGGAAAGAUGAAUCAAAGAAGGUAAUAAUCCUGUAGUCGAAAAUGUUGUCUCUCUUGAGUGGAUCCUGAGUACGACGGAGCACGUGAAAUUCCGUCGGAAUCUGGGAGGACCAUCUCCUAAGGCUAAAUACUCUCUAGUGACCGAUAGUGAACCAGUACCGUGAGGGAAAGGUGAAAAGCACCCCGGAAGGGGAGUGAAAUAGAACCUGAAACCGUGUGCUUACAAGUAGUCAGAGCCCGUUAAUGGGUGAUGGCGUGCCUUUUGUAGAAUGAACCGGCGAGUUACGAUUUGAUGCAAGGUUAAGCAGUAAAUGUGGAGCCGUAGCGAAAGCGAGUCUGAAUAGGGCGUUUAGUAUUUGGUCGUAGACCCGAAACCAGGUGAUCUACCCUUGGUCAGGUUGAAGUUCAGGUAACACUGAAUGGAGGACCGAACCGACUUACGUUGAAAAGUGAGCGGAUGAACUGAGGGUAGCGG
rnacentral:rRNA from 1 species